UGCUCUUACCAGAUGUUUUGAUGCUAAGGUGGGAUUGAAGCUUCACAGGUUGCAGUAAAUAGUCUCUUGCCGACACUUUAUGCUAAGGAGUGAUCCAGGCUGCAUAGACUAAUGUGUAAUGGUAUCAAAUUUCUCUGUUGUCGGGUUUAUGGUGCUGCUUUGAAUGAGUUAUCAAUACAAAGAUUUCUUGCCAGAGUUCCAACUGUUCCAGAAGUCCAUGUAUGCUCGUUUCUUUUUGUUUCUUUUUUUUCUUUUGGCCCCUUUUGAGAAAUGUUAGUGGAAUCUUGUUUGAACACCCCUACAAUCAGUUCAUGGAAUCUUAGAACACCUGUUCUCAUAUUUUUGAUAAAUUGAGUUUGUUAGCGUUUCUUAUGAAUAUCAGUCAAAUUGUUACGUAUAGCCAUGCUGGAGUACAUAUCCUUCUGGUCUUAUGCAGCUUACACGAAUUCCUUCUUGGAACAAUAUGCAUGGUUCACCAUUCUGGGGAUUUCUGUGUGCCUGUGGCAAUAGUAACAUAUGAAUACAAGUUGCUAACGGAGCAGAAGCGCAUAUUACUUAAAAGAAUGUUGCAAUGAAUUAGUUGCCCCAGAAUAGUAAGGCAUUAACAAUUGUAUGUUUCAGGUGAGUUGUGGUGAUGUGUGCAGUGCAAAUGUACAAUAUAUCUUCUUCUGUGGAGUUAAGGGAUUAGCAUGUAAUGACACAUUUUGUGAGGAUGUCAUCCCUCAGCAUGCUAUUUUGCUGCAUAUUUUUAGCUUCUUUGUUUUCAGAACCCUAUUACGCUGAUUUUACAGAUAUUCCAGGAGAAAGUGCUAGAAAGAUCAUCUUAUUUUGUGCACAACCUCUGGAAUCCAACUCAUGGUAUGUAAAUGAGGGACCACGAGAAAUCCUCACUACGGGGAUAUCUAACUGAAGGACUACAUAAUAUAGGGUCUGUUUCAGUUGUAAUUGUGACUGCAAAUUGUAUGGAAACACAUGAAUUAGUUCUGUUCUCCGAAUGAUAAUAUUACUGAAAGAGCAUGUUCCUUCCUGGCUGUUGGCUGAUACACCAUGCAGACUUCUUUGGUUUUGAUCGGCGGAUGGUUCUCAUGUGGUUGCUGAUACACCAUAUGCUGAAGUGGCGGAAGUCAUGAAAAUGUGCACGCUACUGUUACUACCGGUCUCUGGUGUCAUUCCCUUUGUCAUGCCUGAGGGUCAGGUCAUGCAGGUUCGUUUCUUCUCUCCCCCUCUUGCUGUCAAGUUCACAGUGCUAUAUGUACAUUCUGAUUAAAGUACUUUGUGCUUGUAAUAUGCAUACAUCUUGUAAAUACAAGCUGAAAUGGCUGUCUUUGUGCAGGCGAGUGGCCUGAUAGCAAGGUUGGAUCUUGAUGACCCACCUUCUGUAGGAGGGCUGAACCAUUUCAUGGCACCUUUCCAAAACUUGGACCUCCUACUGCUAUUUCUGGCAAAGUUCACCAAAGUUUUGCUGCAAGUGUGAAUUCUGCGCACAUUAUCCUUGCAGGAUAUGAACAUAAUAUCAAUCAUGUAAGGCAUAUCAAACUUUCAGGAUGCAGUUGUUCUUCCACUUUUAUUUCCCUUGUCUAUCUCGUUGCCACUGUCCUCGUCUACAGAGAGGAACUAACCUCUUAAUUUGUGACAAAAUACACCAUCUUUCUUCAAUCGAUAGGUUCCUGACUGUACCUUUCUUUCAGGUUGUACCAGAUUUGCUAAACUGCCUAGACAACCCUGAGCUCCCUCUUCUACAGUGGCAAGAACUCAUGUCCGUUUGGGCAAACCAGACUCCUGAAAGAUCUUACGAAUGAGGUGAUUAAGUAUCCUAGUUUCCUUUUACAUGUCAUUACUCGUUUUUCCCUUUGGUUGCAUAUCAAAUCGGUAACUAAUUUGCCUGUACUCAGUUGGAUAGUAAGUACAAGGAGUAUGAGUUGAAUGCUGGCUUCCAGAAGAGCAAGGAUUUCCCUGCCAAGUUGCCAAGGGGAGUCAUUGAGGUCAGUUUGAGACUGUUACUUGGCAUCCCUUUCUUUUUAUUUGCCAUAUGUUGUUUCCUUAGAAUUGCAGGCAAAUCUUGCAUAAAGCGAAAAUAAACAGGGGGUGAUGCUGGUUGCGUACUUGUCUCCAUCUCGACGGUGCAUCUCUUAUGCCUUGUUGUCUAUGACACUGAUCUUUACCAUUGCUAUUUUUGAUUCAUAUCUUGUAUUCAGUUCUUGUUUUGAUUUGGUGCUGCUCCCGCUCCAGUAUAUUGUUGACAUUCAAGAGAACUUGAACUGUUUUUGUCUAGCAAACAAUUUUUGAAUGAGGUGCGUAAGCCGCUACCGACUUCGACCGUAGUUGUAUUGUUAACUUAGAUUUAGUAAACGUCAAAGUAGCAUGCAGCAAGAAAUAAAUGGAGUAAUUGUAGUUGUUUUACAAACACACCAGUACUGGGUAGUUCUUAAACUUGAGAUUUCUGAGGCACACUUCUAUUGCUGUGUGUCCAUCAAUUCUUCAUUCAAACGAUCAUAAUCGCGAACACAAACAAUACAUAACAUUUUCGCAUGACGAGGAGAUUGAUCACACAUUUGCAGCGACCUAAUUAAAUAUAUGGAAACGAACAAUAGCUAUGCAGAGGCAGGUGGCACCAUGACAUCCAAUUCUUUUGCUUCUUUCAUGAGGGACACGAUACUACACCUGACAAGCUUCGAUGUGGUUCCAAAACUGUUGGAGGCAGUGCUGAAAACCACAGUGUAGUUGAGUUUUGGAAUGUUCGGAGCACUAGAGAGUCCAUCUAUCAAACUCUUAAGAUCCAUCUGUUUGAUGAACCUGCCGCCACUGUGUUCCAUCAUUGAGAUAACCAUCUUUGUGACAGACUUUAACUAUGACAAAUUUUUGACUGUUUGUGGUCACAUGUUUCAGUACCAUCUCCUUGAUCUUGUUUAAGAAGCUAGAUAACCGCAGGUCGCGCCUGGACCUAAUUUGUUGACUAUCCCACAAAGGGACAAGGAUGACAACAUUGCGUUUUCCUCCUCGUCCUGCUCAUUACUUCCCGGAUAAGAGGAGGAAGAAGAGCUAACUCCUUUGCCCUGGCUACUAUCAAACUGGUUUUCUAUGUUAGUUUCUGGUUUGACAAUUUCGUCUUUCCUGUAUGUGUUUCAUCUCCACAACAAAGAAUUGCUCUGAUCCUCUGCAACAGCAAUGAAUUAAACAUCCAUAAUUAGUCUAACGAGAAAGAAAUCAAAAUUCAAGCCAGGGAUAUUCAUGUAUUGACAAAAGGGAUUACCCCUGAGAUUCAUUGCACAAUAAUUCAUUUCUUGGAGAUGCUCGAGUAUGAGUUUCUGCUUCUGUGCACAUCUUGUUUUUAUCAUGUACUUCUAUGAAAAACAUCACCAUUUCCUACUUGUAUGACGACCAACGUUUACGAGUCGAAGAGUCGACGAGUCGUUCCAAGGUUAAGACUCAUAGACUAGUCUAGACUAGUGCGAGACUAGUCGACAUGGUACUGUAGCACUGAACUUACAGUACAUAACUAAUAAUACCUAGUAGUAGUAUGUAGUAUUACACUAUAUAAGUAUACAAGUACAGUAUACAAUACAAUCACCGGUGUUGUAGACAUUGUAGCUCAGACCUCAGGACCUGGAAAUUGAAACACACUCAGUCUAGCAGCACCAGCAACCAGCAGCAAGCAGGGCAGCACCAGCAACCAGCAGCAAGCAGGGCAGCACCAACAGCAAGCAGAGCAGCACGAGCAGUCCUCCAGCAACGAGGCAGAGCAACACCAGCAGCAAGCCAAGAAGAAAGAGGAGGAGAGGAAAGAAAGGAUUAGGUCUCGUCUCACGUGGGAUGAGCCAUCGUAUUUAUACUCCCCCAGUUUUUUGAGUCGUUCGACUCGAACAUGUCGACUAGUCCAGACUAGUCGUCGACUAGUCGAUGACUGGCUCGACUCAUAUUUGUAGUCUACACGAGAAACCGAGUCAACAGCCACUUUGCGACUCAUAGACUAGUCGAGCGACUAGUCUAGACUAGUCGUUCGACUCGUAAUCGUUGAUGACAACUAUGGCAUCGUCUGUUUCAAAAAAACAUACUAUGGCAUCGUCCGUUUAAAAAAACAAACAAACUAUGGCAUCACUAAUUCCGCCCUGACAUAGCAUCCACAAUGCUCCUCCGGCAUAUGCUCUGAUAGAGAGACUUUCUAAUAGAGACUUUCUAUCACGAGUGAGUACACCGGCAAGUCAUGUAUGUUAGUCAUAAAUUACAAUUUUUGGCGUCAUAUUGUUGUGUUGUCAUGGACGAUAUAAGUGUUGCUUGAGCGUACCUAUUUAGUUCAUGUUUCAUAUUUUUGUUAGCAAAUGACAUCUUGUUAACUGCAAUUUAGAAGUUUUUAUGUUUUUCUACACCCUUCUGUUAUAUACUUCAUAUUUGUAUUUUUUUAUGUAAGAACCAAGAACAACUUUACAUUUGCUUUGUAUUACUUUAGUUAUCUUUGUAGCACAUAUCAUGCAUUUCUUUUUACAAUGUUCCUGCAACUAGUUGGGUAUGUUCUAGUGAUUAUUAAAUGUCUAGUUAGAUUAGGUAACGGCUCGAAUACUCGGUUAAUUUGUUGGCAUGGACAGUAAGCAACUCGUGGGCCACAAAAUUAGGAAUUAUUGGGAAUACUCUCAUGUACAAAGAGGUAAAAGGAGGUUUAGUUGGGAGUACACAUGAUCUUAAACAAACCGAAGUUUGGUUUCAACCGGAACCAUGUCCCAAGGCAUAUUUUCCGUGUGGUGGUGUGGAUGCGCAUCUACUACGAGUUGGGGGUGUUACUCAAAAGAGAAAAUGGACGACCAACAGAUAUAAAACAUAAUAUGAUGGAGAGGGAGGGAUUACUUGGUAGGUACCUGUAGGGACAACAUGGCCAUCUUUUUUGGAAGGGAAUGCCAUUUGGUGUACUUUAUUUAACUUGAGUAUUGCUAUGGGGAUCACCACCCACAUUACAAUAUAUUUUGAAUCAUAGACAACCACUUGAUCAUUAAUUCAUGCACCCUCCGAUUGCAGCUGAGAAACCAAAAGAAUUAAAGUUAACACCCUCGAUGUGAAGAGAUUGACGGCAGAUGCAAAAUCCUAACUAGGAUGAAUACCUGUCUACAUCAGAAUCCAGAUUUAGGCUGUGCUUGGCAUUGAGGUGAAUUGUGAUAAUCCAGAUUAUCCAAUGAACUUUUGUUCGAAUUUAGUGUUUGUUUGACUCAUUUAAGCCUAUUUAUGUAGUUUUUUCACAACAGACUAUAAAAUAAGCACAACACAACACAAGACAGUUCUGGAACUACAAACUGAACAUUUGUCGUAAAAAUCUAGCAAGCAUAUACCUUGUCACAAUCAAUCUCUACUGGCAUGAUCAUACUUCUAUUUAUUAGCUCAUUGACAUAACUCUCGCCAACCUCAAAUAAACUCUUCCCUUGUUCUUCAUGAUGGAUAAGACCUUCAGCUAUCCACCUCCAAAUCAAUCUCUCUAUCUCAAUCUCGCAGUCUUCUGGAAAUAUACUUAAAUAUAAGAAACAACUCUUUAGAUGGGGAGGCAUAUCAUAAUAGCUAAAUGAUAAUAUCUUCUUCAUGUCCUCCACAACAUCACCUCCAAUAAGUCCAUGCCCAAUAGACUCGAGCAAAUUGCACCAUUGAUCCUUUGACUUCAUCUGUUGAUUACUAGCCAGUAGACUAGCGAUAGCAAUAACGGCUAAUGGUACCCCGCCACAUUUCCUCAAGAUAUCUAUGGACACUUCUUCCAACUCAACGGGACAUCCAUGCUCAUUCUGAAAUAUUCUUCUAUAGAAGAGCCUCUGGGAGUUUCUAUCGGAAAGAGGUUUCAUUCUAUGAAUUAUGUCAACACCAGAAGAGCAGCAUGCUUCAGAGACAUUGAUGCUGCGAGUUGUUGUGAUUAUUCGACUACCAAGAUUGUUGCUAGAUAAAGCACACUUGAUAAUAUCCCAUAUUUUCUCAUCCCAUAUGUCAUCAACUACGAUGAGGUACCUGUAUCAAUUUUGUGAAGCGUUAGUGGGUAAGUCAAUCAAGAUACAACUAAGUUUGGAAGGAAACAAGGAAACCAAAUAAUAAUCGAAAUAUCAGCAGGGUGCUAAUUAAGAAGAUGACUGCACAAGAAAAAAAGAAGACGUAUAUUUAAAGUGAAACAUGAUCUACAUGCAAAAGAGAGGAAGAUAUAGAUGUACCUCUUGUGCUCAAGAAACUCACGGAGUUUGUCAAUGAGCAGCUUUUCAUCCCUUGAUGUGCUAUGUAUUUCUUCAAACUUGUGCUCGUCAAGUCCAUAGAGCAUGUCCUUGAAAAUUUUCUUCAUGUCGGGAGUUCGAGACACUGAAACAAAAGCCCAGCAAUCAAACUGAGUUUUGAUCUUCUCAUACACUGCUCUUACAAGGGUUGUCUUGCCCAGUCCGCCUAGCCCGACGACAGAAAUUGUCUUCAGUUGUUGCUUUGACCCCUCGCCACCUUCUGCUAACCUAUAAAUCAGCGCGUCCCUUUCCUCUUCCAUGCCAACAAGCUCGGUUAUAUCUUUGUACAUGUUCACUAGGCGAGGGUCAAUGUUAGCACCAGCGUCGGUGCUAUGGAUAUCGAGCUUGUACUCCCUCCGGCCGGAAAUACUUGUCAUCAAAAUGAAUAAAAGGGGAUGUAUCUAGAUGUAUUUUAGUUCUAGAUACAUCCCUUUUUGUCCAUUUUGAUGACAAGUAUUUUCGGACGGAGGGAAUAUCGAGCUUGAGCUAUGGAUAUCGAGCUUGUACCUUUCACGGAGAUCGGUCAACUCCUUGGCGAGAUCUUGAGCUUCUUGGAUGGCGUUGGAGAUCUGAUGAAGAGCCUUGCCACUACGGAACAGCUUGGAGACCUUCUUGACGAACUUCUUGACUCUGUUCUUCAUGUUGGUCGGCUGCUCGAGGUCAUGGCCGUCCUCUACGCGCACCAUGAAGGCAUCAACGGCGUCCUCCAUGCCAUAGCACAGGUCGCGCACCUUGCCCGCCCACACCUUGACCUUCGCGUGAAGCUGGUUGGGCGGCACCUCGCCCACCUUGAUGAGGACGGCGUGCAUCAACGCCAGCUCCAUCUCAAGGGACGGCGUUUCUCCAGGUUGAAUUCUCCAGUAAGCAGCUCACUGAGCUUCCGGAGGAGUGGCCUAAUCGCUGGCUUCACCUACAAGCCGGUCGUAGAGCCAGAAUAGUAUGUAUGCCGAUGGGAUUGGGAGCACAGAAGGAAGGCACCUUGGGCGAUUGGUAUCGAUGAGAACCUAAUCAAACGUUGAAAAUAUAUAAAUUAACCAUCCAUGUUGGGUUUCGUGGAGCAAUGUACAGCUUAGUUAGCAAUGCAACUAAUCUCGUUUUAACAAAUACUACUAGUAGACUAGUAUGAGACUAAUGAAAUAGCAUUAUUGGCUAGGCUAGCCAACUAAUCUCACCUGCCAAAACGCGACGGAUGCAUGCACCUCAAAGUCAAAUCUCAACCCCAGAGCGACAUAGCCAAUUUUUCUUUAUCAAAACACAUUCAUUUCAAAAUUAUGUCGGUUGUUUACCAAGCCUUCCAUGAUCUCAAGCAAUAAGUUCCUCCUGACUGUAUACCUUUCUUUCAGGUUGUACUCCCUCCGUUCGGAAUUACUUGUCUCGGAAAUGGUUGUAUCUAGAACUAAAAUACAUCUAGAUACAUCCAUUUCUACGACAAGUAAUUCUGAACGGAGGGAGUACAAGAUAAAGUAAACUGCCUAGACAGCCCUGAUCAGCUCCCUUUUCUACAGUGGCAAGAACUCAUGUCCGUUUGGGCAAACCAGACUCCUGAAAGAUCUUACGAAUGAGGUGAUUAAGUAUCCUAGUUUCCUUUUACAUGUCAUUACUCGUUUUUCCCUUUGGUUGCAUAUCAAAUCGGUAACUAAUUUGCCUGUACUCAGUUGGAUAGUAAGUACAAGGAGUAUGAGUUGAAUGCUGGCUUCCAGAAGAGCAAGGAUUUCCCUGCCAAGUUGCCAAGGGGAGUCAUUGAGGUCAGUUUGAGACUGUUACUUGGCAUCCCUUUCUUUCUACUCCCUCCAUUCGGAAUUACUUGUCUUGAAAAUGGACGUAUUAAGACGUAUUUUAGUUUUAGAUACAUCCAUUUUUGAGAUAAGUAAUUCCAAACAGAGGGAGUAGUAUUUGUCAUGUUGUUUCCUUAGAAAACCAUCAUUGCAGGAAAAUCUUGCACAAAGAAAAUAAAAUAAAUAGGGGGUGCUGCUGGUUGUGCACUUGUCUCCAUCUCGACGGCGAAUCUCUUAUGCCUUGUUGUCUAUGACCCUGACCUUCACCGUUGUUAUUUUUGGUUCAUAUCUUGUAUUCAUUUUUUUGUUUCGAUUCGGUGCUGCUCCCACAAUAUGUCCAGUAUAUUGUUGACAUUCAAGAGAACUUCAACUGUUUUUGUCGAGCAAACAAUUUUUGAAUGAGGUGCGUAAGCCGCUACUGACUUUGACCCUAGUUGUACUCUUAACUUAGAUUUAGAAAAAGAGAUGUCAGCCAAUAUAUAUAUAAAUAAAUAAACGUCGAAGUAGCAUGCAUCAAGAAAUAAACGGAGUAAUUGUAGUUGUUUUACAAACACGCCAAUACUGGGUAGUUCUUGAACUUGAGAUUUCGGAGGCACACUUCUAUUGCUGGGUGUCCAUCAAUUCUUCAUUCAAACGACAAUUAUCACGAACACAAACAAUAUAUAACAUUUUCUCACGGCAAGGAGAUUCAUCACACAUUUGCAGUGACCUAAUUAAAUGUACGCAAAUGAACAAAAGCUACCAAGUGAAUGAAAAUAAACGAGGAGUUUUAGCCGAAUCUAAAAUCAACCAAUCACGGCACCAUUAUACGAAAAUCGCUCCAAAAAUCCUAGAGAAACCUAGCGAGUCUUUUUCCUGAGCCCUUGCUUCGCCUUUUUCUCUCUCUCCUGCCGGCUGCCCUAGUGAGUCUUUUUCCCGAGCCCUUGUUCCGGUUUUUUCUCUCUCCCGCCAGUCAUCUUGAUCGACAUUUUCUUUUUGGUUUCCCGAUCUAAUCUUGGUCGGUUUGCGUUGCCCGCCGCCGCCGCCCUACUCUGACAUCGGCGCGACACUCAACCUCUCCUCCGACCCGGCGGCCACACGCGCCGAGGCGGCCCGUCAGGACCAGCCUCCGUCCACGCGUCGGCCCGCCAUCGCCCUACGCCGGCCGUCGCCGCCCUGCUCCGACCGGACUCCUGCAUCGCCCCGACCCAACGGUCUCACGCGAUGCGGCGGCACAUCACAGCCGUCGUUCGCACAUCGGCCCGCCUGUCGAUCCAUGCCGUCCAUCGCCACCCGCCACGGUCGCGUCUGCUUGGCGGUCCUACAAUGUGCCUCGCCAGCCUCAUCCCCGGUUGCGUCAGGCUCAUCGGCUGCCUCGAGCUCGGGCGCUGCUGCUCCGUUGGUCGCUCGGGCCUCGCAGCCCGGGUGCAGGUGCGGCUUUGGUAGCCCGGGUGCCGGUGCUGACGCACUCAUCCGCAUGUCAUCCCACGCGUUCCGUCAUCGCUGGUUUCAUCUUAGACUCCGUCGCCACCCCGCCUCAACUGAGUGGCGUCCCCGACCUCGCGCGCAAUCGGCUUGAUCACCCGCUCGCCGCCGCGAUCCGUCCCAUCUACGCCGCGCGACCGACCUGGCCCGUCGAUUGCGCGCGCCUCCGCAGGUCCCGUGAAGAUCGUCACAAGUACAACACGCCUCUCCACCGAUCGAGCAUCGGGUUGCCGCUGCAUCGCCCCGUCGGGCCGUAGCGCCACCGCCCCGUGGUUCUCCUCGCGGUUGCAUUGACUCGCGCGUCGCGGCUGCAUCGCCCCUUCGGGCCGUAGUGCCGCGAUAUGCGCCCCCCCGCCGCCCCGAGGCCGUCCCCGCGGUUGCACUGACCCGCGCUCCGCCGCUGCACCGCCCCUUCGGGUUGUAGCACCGCGGCCUGCGGUACCCGCCAUCGCCCCGACCUGCCCGCCGCCGCUGCAUUGCCCAUUCAGGCCGUAGCGCCGCGGCCCGCGGUCCCCUCCGCCGUCACGGCGCAUCGACCUUCCAUGGUAUGCGUCGCGCCAUCUCCCUCGGCGAGGGAACGCCACCGUCCACACCGGUCUUCAUCACGCUGUUGGGUUCCUCGCCUACUUCGAGCAGCGCCACCGCAUUCCUAACCUAGCCGCCGCCGCCGCCAGUCCACCCCCUUCGUCUUCGUCCAGCACCAGCCUGUCGCCAGCGUCGCCGUCAUCUUCCUCGACCACUUCGUCUACUCCGACCACCGUUGGUGACAUCGGCCUCAUGCCGAUCGGUGCCACAACCUGAAGGAAAUAUGCCCUAGAGGCAAUAAUAAAGUUGUUAUUUUAUAUUUCCUUAUUCAUGAUAAAUGUUUAUUAUUUAUGCUAGAAUUGUAUUAACCGGAAGCUUGAUACAUGUGUGAAUACAUAGACAAAACACCGUGUCCCUAGAAUGCCUCUACUAGACUAGCUCGUUGAUCAAAGAUGAUUAAGUUUCCUAGCCAUGGACAUGUGUUGUCAUUUGAUGAAUGGGAUCACAUCAUUAGGAGAAUGAUGUGAUGGACAAGACCCAUCCGUUAGCUUAGCAUAAUGAUCGUUUAGUUUUAUUGCUACUAUUUUCUUCAUGUCAAAUACAUAUUCCUCUGACUAUGAGAUUAUGCAACUCCCGGACACCGGAGGAAUGCCUUGUUUGCUAUCAAGCGUCAUAACGUAACUGAGUGAUUAUAAAGAUGCUCUACAGGUAUCUUCGAAGGUGUUUGUUGGGUUGGCAUAGAUCGAGAUUAGGAUUUGUCAUUCCGAGUAUCGGAGAGGUAUCUCUCAGCCCUCUCGGUAAUGCACAUCAUAUGAAGCCUUGCAAGCAAUGUGACUAAUGAGUUAGUUGCGGGAUGAUGCAUUACAGAACGAGUAAAGAGACUUGUCAGUAACGAGAUUGAACUAGGUAUGGAGAUACCGAUGAUCGAAUCUCGAGCAAGUAACAUACCGAUGACAAAGGGAAUAACAUAUGUUGACAUUGCGGUUCGACCGAUAAAGAUCUUCGUAGAAUAUGUGGGAACCAAUAGGAGCAUCCAGGUUUCGCUAUUGGUUAUUGACUGGAGAAAUGUCUCGGUCAUGUCUACAUAGUUCUCGAACCCGUAGGGUCCACACGCUUAACGUUCGAUGACGAUAUGUAUUAUAUAAGUUGUGUGUUUUGGUGACCGAAGGUUGUUCGGAGUCUCGGAUGAGAUCACGGACAUGACGAGGAGUCUCGAAAUGGUCGAGAGGUAAAGAUUGAUAUAUUGGAAGGUGGUAUUCGGACACCGGAAGGGUUCCGAAGUGUAUCGGGUACAAACCGGAGUACCGGAGGGGUUACCGGAAUCCCCCGAUGGAAGAUAUGGGCCAUAUGGGCCAUAGGAGGGAGGCUAACCAGCCCACAAGGGGCUGGUGCGCCCCCACAAGGGAGGAGGCCGAAUUGGACUAGGAAAGAGGGCGCCACCCCCUUUCCUUCUCCCUCUCCCUCUCUUUCCCUCUUCCCCUCCAUUGGAAAGGAAGGGGGGGGGGGGGGGCGCCAUAGGGCCGGCCCUCUCCCCUCUCCUCCUUUAUAUACGGGGGCAGGGGGCACCCCAAAGCACACCAAUUGUUUAGCAGUGCGGUGCCCCCCUCCACCGUUUACUUCUCCGGUUAUAUUGUCGUAGUGCUUAGGCGAAGCCAUGCGCGGAUCACAUCACCAACACCAUCACCACGUCAUCGUGCUGACGAAACUCAUUGACUCCUUCGUACCUCUACUGGAUCAAGAGUUCGAGGGACGUCAUCGAGCUGAAUGUGUGCAGAAAUCAGAGGUGCCGUACAUUCGGUACUUGAUCAGUUGAUUCGAGAAGACGUUCGACUACAUCAACCGCGUUAAGUUAACGCUUCCGCUUUUGGUCUACGAGGGUACGUGGAGACACUCUCCCCUCUCGUUGAUAUGCAUCUCCUAGAUAGAUCUUGUGUGAGCGUAGGAAUUUUUUAAAAAUUGCAGGCUACGUUUCCCAACACAACCAUCGUCGAGUCUCCUUCUCUGCUGGCCCCUCUGAAUCCUCGACAUGGCGUACAGCUCAUGCAGGUCCCUCGUCUAUGCAUGCUCGGUGCUGGCAACACCGAUGCGUGCCUUCGUCCACGACAUGUCCCCGGGCCUGACAAGCCUGGUGUGGUGCUUCGUCAAUUUCGUCUUCGACCGUCUUCGCAUGCCUGGUGCUAGCAACACCGACACGUGCCUUCGUCUAUGAUGUGUCCCUGGGUUUGGCACACCCGGUGCGACGCCUCAUCAACACCAUCCUCCUUCCGGCGCACCACUAUCUCGACACCACUGCGCCCAUGACUAACUCGGCGCCUACUUGCCCCCGCGGCUCCACGGUGACUCCCUUGACACCGGGUACCCCGACCCCGACAUCGACCACGACUCUCUUCGCACGGCUACCUCGACCACGGCUACACCACCCUUGAUAUCGGCACAAAGGGCUAUCAUCCGCUUGAGCAACUCGUCGGCUUCCUCUACAGUCAAUGCGUCCGCGACGCGACACCGUCCACGACACUCCCUCCACGGCUGCUAUUCUCUCCAGUCUAGCCAUCCGCGAUGCUCCUGUUGUCUGCGACGCUACCGCUACGACUGCAUGGGGGUGUUAGAGAUAUAUUUGGGUUACCUGUAUUUGGUAGUCUAGGAUUUGUAAUCCUUCUCCUACCUUAUCUCUAGGAGAGGCUUCUCGCCAUUCAAGUCUUGUACUUAAUAUAUACUUGCCCUCGAGGCUCAACAAUUCAUCAUAUUCCGCAACAAUCCCUCUCUCUCUCCCUUCUAACACCAUCGAACGACCAUUGCCGCCGCCGGACCAAGCAACCGACACGCGCUGUCGUUGUUCUGGUAUUGAACUGGUUUGACCUUAUCGACAACAACCAAGAAGUCUUCGUGCAUGUGCCCCUGAAGGGCAGUGUCCUAGAGCAGCAAUCGUCACCGUUGAAACUUCGAAUCGAUAUGAAGGAACCUGACACUAAAUCUCAUCCUCGCGUAUGCACGGCGAGAAAACUGACCUCGUCGUCCGAGGAGCAAGCUAAAAGAAAUCUACGUGAGAGGUUCGUCUAAUUCAUCCUGACGUACAAAGUUUAGGAGGAUCGAAGCCAGGAAGAUUAACUAAAGAAGAAGCACGUCAUUCAUGCGAGUGCUGUCCCUGUGAGGACUAAAACACUACCUAUCCGCUAGCCGGAGUCAAGGCCCCAGGAUUCCUCUCCGUGCCAUCAUCCAACGGAGCGAUAUUCAAGGAAAGAUGAAUUCAUGGGUUUGCAAACAGAUAUCGAGAACGUGGUUGUUUUGAGGGAGUUGGAGGCAGGAAAUGGGAGUUUCAGCGAAGGGGGACUUAACAUCCGUUAAUUGGUUAGAGGGCAUGGGAUUUUAGAUGGGAAGGGGAAAGGGAGUUGCCCUAUUAAAUUCCCACGCUUCUCUUCCCAAGGGACCUCGGGUAAUUUACGUGAGGAAAGGGAAUUGGCCGCCCAGAUCUCAUGAUAGAGUUGUUAUGUGUUUUACUCUCAUGACAAAACCCACAAAACAAACUUGGGAAGAUAGUCUUCCUGUCAAACUCCCACUAGUAAUUCCAUCUCACACCAAACAAUGGAUUGGGAUUAAUAAUCAACUUCCCAAAUCAAACCCUUUAUCAAAUUCCCUCCUCCAAAUUCCCAUUCCCUUUACCUGAAGUUGCCAAGUGGAAAAUACAUUCUCCAUCCGUUCCUAAAUAUAAGGGUUUUUAUAAAUUUCAAUAAGAACUACAUAAGCGAUAAAUCACGAGUGGACAUGGUGCCACGCGAGGAUGUAAUCCUGUCCAUCAGCUCUCACGUGAUUCGUGCAGUUUUAAUACACAAAGCUUGUAUACUAAUAUCUCUUGACCGUAUACAGGUAGUAUAAUUUUCUUUUCCGCUCUGAGCGCAUUUAGUUUUGUCAGUCUGGAUGGGUACCUGCAACAUGCAUUGAGUUACUCUCCAUUUAUGUGCUACCAGCUUCAGGCGAUAGGGAAAAGUAUUAGAUGCUAUCACACAUUACAUGCUACCAUGCACCCAUUUUUCAAAAUUCAUUUUUAAACGUUUCACAAAAUUCCAAAAAAAUUGUGAGUGUUCAAAUGGCAUGUGUCUACAAUCUGUAAAAAGGUCGAAUCAAAAUUUGGAACACACAUUGAGAAACAAAAAAGACAAAUUUAGUAUGAAUAGUGCCACAAAAAGACAAAAGCCAGAAUGAAAAUAUUUACGUACGGAUUUUGUCCUUUUUGUUUCCCCAUGUGUAUUUCAAAAUUUUGACUUGAACUUUUAACAGGUUGUCGACAUAUGUCUUAUGAACACUCAUAAUUAUUUUCAUAAUUUUUUGAAACAUCUAAAUAUGUUUUUUGAAAAAUUGUAUCAUGGGAACACCUAAUGUGUGGGAGCAUAGGAUAUCCUCCCCUGCGAGAGGAGGAGAUGGGUAGGAGUGGCAGUUGUGAAAAUAAUCCAAAAACUAUGUCAGAGACCAGACGUAUGCUGGCCUUUCGGCAACAAUGAUGAUACCUGGCCCACAUCCCAGUGAUCCCACCAUAAUGAUGUUGAUUAUGGCUCAUUAUCAAAAUCCACACUAGCAGAUGUAUCACGUUCAUGUUAAUUUGCUAGUAUUAUUUGCAUCCUUAUCAUGUUCCUUUAGUAGUAAUGAAGACCACAAUGUUGCUGCUCCUAAAUGUAAUACUAGUUUCUUGCAAUCCAGUUUUUAAAGCACGGCAUAUAUAGAUAUUUGUGUUAACAUUUUUUAUUUCAAGAAAGACUAGUAACUAAAUUGUCUUAGACCCCUAACACCAUGUAUAUGACAUUUGAAAAAAAUAAAACAUCAUAUAUAUGUCGAACCUUACCGUCUCCACUAGGGGAGGCACUAUCACAAUCCCGAAAAAAAGUUAUCUAGAGUAAGAAAAAGUAUUCUGUUUCCGUUCGCCCUACAGUGGCAUAUGAAAUGGAUGACGGAAGAAAUUUAGCAACACUUUUCCCACAGGAUCUCUUGCAAGAACAAGUACUAUGGACAACUUAAAAAAAAGUACUAUGAACAACGGUUAACCAAAGAAAAAGAAACGAGUCGUUAACCCAUGCGGUUUAAUUACCAACAUUCAAGGUGUGCAGGAAAACCACUGGGCAUUAAAGAUGCGCAUCACCUCACAUUGAUCUCUCAAGUACCAGCUUCAAUUAAGAUGCCCAACCACCAGCUCAUAUACCCGUAUUUGCUGAAUUAACGUAGCAUAGCGUUGGCGUAUUCAUUUAACCGCUAUAUAAAGUGUUAAUCACAUAGCAUGCAUGGACUGCCCAGAUUACAUCCUCGCGUAGCACCAUGUCCCAAAAAUCCGCGUCCCUACAUAAGGAUGUAUACAGACAUAUUUUAGAGUGUAGAUUCACUCAUUUUGCUCUGUAUGUAGUCUGCAUUAGAAUAUUUAAAAAGACUUAUUUAUGAACAGAUGGAGUAGUUUCUAGACUAAAUUAAAGUUUUUUAGACUAAAAUUAAAAUUAAACACGUUUGAUCUAUACAAAUGACAAUGUUAAAAUAUUAAUUUAUUUGGAACGGUGGAAGUAUAUAUCUCUCCCUAAUCUCUCCUUAUCUUUCCCUCUUUCCCUACUAAUAAAGCACGGAGUGCUUCUGGUCGUACGUCACGGCAGUUUUGCAGAAAAGCCCUUGUGUUUUUAGAUAUUCAAGCCGCAGUCCUGACGAGAAGUCCCGAACCGGUACGAGCGAGAGAGAAAAAAACGUACCCGCACAACCCACAACCCAACCUCCCAAUCCCAUCUCCACCUCCAGCGCUCCUCCACCCCCGCCGCCGCCGCCGGCGGCCCCUGCCGCGCGCCGCCGACCCCCUCCUUGCGGCCAACUCCGCCGGGGCGCUACCCCUACCCCAAGUGCCCCACCCCGCGGCCUUCCACCGCCGACGACACACGACGCCGCGCUGUUGCCGGCUCCCCCUCCCCUGCUACCACGGUGCUGCCGGGACUCCUCCCCGUUGCUUCGACCUCGGCGUUGGUUCCCCCAAACCCGCCGGUUUCGCCACCGGCCACAACUUCCUGGCGCACUCCACCAACCGACAGACCAGUUCGCCCGCCUCCCAUGGCUAACAUCGCUGCUACCCCAGUGUCGCUUCCCACCCCAGGGGCUCAUCUCCUCCACCUGCGCGCCACUCCCCGACCUUCCCUUUUCGCGCCGUAUGCGUCCUCCCGCUUCACUGCCUAGCAUGUGCCAGGUCCAAUCUGGACGAACAGGACAACAUAGCCAGCCAUAUGCGCCCCUCCAAUCUGAACGGCUUGCUCUGCAUGAUGCCACUUGCUUGCUGUGUGUGGGGUAUAUUUUUGUUGUACUCUUAAUUUGCUGUUGAUGUCAUAUGCUACAGAUUCAUGUUUUUUAUGAGAUACUUGGAAUACGUAAGAGUACUGAUAUAGUAGAAACAAAGCACGUACAAUUAGCAAUACAGAAGCCGCAAAAUGUUUAAGGGGAGUUGAAUGUCAAAAACCACAACCCUGCUACUCUGAUAGUUUUCAGGCUCACAUUUUAUGGGAAAUUAUUCAGUUUGUCACUUUGUUAUGGGAUAUAAUGUCUAACAUAUCAUAAUGUUUUGGUGGAAACGGUGGUAGUUUCUAACCUCUUUCAGUGUUUAAACUAUUUUCCUGAUGACUGAAUGAAGUUGAAACUUUGACAACGGAUGUAGCAGGGUUAACAGAAAACAUGAUGCACGAUUGAAUUAAACAUGCAGGGUUCAAUACGCAUCUCUAAUUAUUCUUAUGUUUAUUAUUUUUAAUAAUCUACCACUUCUGGCAUCCUGUCGGUGAGUCUUCUUUUGGCCUGCGAACCAUAGUCAUUGUAGCUUUGCUCCAGUUUGCCAAUGUAUAGCUGAAUAUGAGCCAUCUACUUGCUGGAAGUGGUCACGUAUGGGGUAACUUUUAGUGGCAGGGUGAAGUAAUGGUACUGGCAUUUGUAUUACUGAAAGUACAGUACAUACUUUGUGUUAUUUUGCAUGCUCUCUAUGUGUUCUCGUCUUGGCAGGGGAUGCUUGGUGAUGACUCCUUAAAUGCUCUGAGUAAUAAUUGAGAAUACAUAGACAAUGUCAAAUUGAAGUGUGAUAUUUGUAUGUCAUAUUUACUCCACAAUAACUUUUUAUGUGUUUUUCUCAUUCUUUUUACAUAGACGUAAUGAUUUCUUUAUGCCGCAAUGUUACUUAUGUCAUUUGGAUUUGGACAUGCCGCAGUGUUACUUCGAUCUCUGGAUGGUUGGUGGCCACCUUAAUUAGAAUCAUUAGGGGUAAUGUAGUUGCAAUGCAGUAUCUAUGUGUGGGCUACCGGAUGGAGUUGCAACAGCUGUGGUCAAAAGCCGGAUGUUUUGGAGAUGCCAUGUUUGAUUAAUUAAUUAAUCAUCUUUUGUGGUGCCAUUAGUUCUGAUCCUGGGCUAGGAGGAUUUAAUAUUCUUAAUCAUGCUUUCAUGCAAAUUGACCCAGUUCGUCCGUUGAUUGAUUACUGGACUCUGAGUUGCAUUGCUUAUUUUGGUAAGUGAGAACGUAUGACUGUAAUUCUGCAUACAUCAUCAUGCUAUUUCCUCCUAAUUUAUAUAUGAAGAUUAAGUGUCCUUUUUUACCUAAAAUUUACUUGAAUAUUUAACUGAGAAUUACUUCAUUGUGUGUCAUGCCUAUCUUAUUCCAUCCACAUGAUCUAUGGACCACAGAUAUAGUUCUCAAUCCAAGGAGAGUCCGAAAACUAAUAAUUUGUGCCUUGAAUAACGAAUGUAAUUUUUUUGUUCUAAUCUUGAAACUUUGGCUAAUGUGAUAAUAUUGGUGUCACGGUGGUCUUCAUAGUUGUAGUGAGUACAAUCUAACAGAAGCAAAAGUCUCUAUUGAUUGUUGUAGGAGAUCCAGAAAGCGGAGCAUUGGGGCACUCUGAUUUUUAAGAAGCUCCAUGCACGUAUUAAGGCCAGUAAAUUCAAUUUGUUUCUCAUCUGCUUCUCUAUGGUCUGUUGUCCUUAUUCGAUCUGUUAUUCAGGUAUGUGUUGUUAACGCUCCUAAUUUUGGGAGAAUCAGAAAAAAAAUAAGUUUUGCAAGUUACGUCAUAUUUCCAUGUUUUAGUAUGAGAUUUAGAUAUAUUGUUUCUCCGGUUCCAUAUUCAUUAUAUGUUUUUCUCCUAUAAUUGGCCUGCUUAUUUACACAAGUCUGAAUUCCUAAAGGUUCAAGAGUAUUUCAAUGUUGCUAAAGAAAGAUACAAGGAUCAGUGCCGUAACAUUGUUGAAAGACAAUCAGACACAGUAUGCUUUUAACUUGCCAUUUCCUUACUGACUAAACCUGAGUACAUGACUAUUUUCAGUUUUCUAAUUCAUUGGAGCUGUGCUAAUCUCCUCACUCCUUGCCCUGAUGUAGGACACCAUGCAGCAGCACUGCACCCUGCAGUUCAUGCUCUGCUCACCAUGACCUGCCUCCUCAUCAUCAGACAUACUCAUGUGUACUAGGAUCUCCUCACCAUCAAAGUUCAUGUGUCCUCUAGAUCAAGCCUAUGCAUGUGAGCUGAAGAAUUGUUUGCCUGUUCACAAUUGGUGAUUGAAGGGUGGCCGGUGACUUCCAUAAUUUUCUUGUAGUUGUUUGUUGGAUAAUCUUUAAAAUUAGGAUUGUAGAGAACUUUACAUUACUGUAAAACUUCGUCUUCUUGGUGUUGAUGCUUACAUAUUCCAUUAUGCUAACUCAACAACACUUUUAGCAGAAAUUGGUUGUUUAUGCAGACACGCGGUGUAGUAAAAUUGAAGAUUUAGCUCCCGCAUUGCAUACUUAUGCUAUGUUGUAGUAAUCUUCUAUCCAUGAAUUAUAUAUAGCAGACUGUAUGUUCAGCCUCCACGUUCAUUUCUUUGAUCUCCUCAGGUUUCGCAGAGGAUUUAGUUGUACAUAUGUGCCAAUAUACCUAUGUGAGCCUCCCUGAAUUAUGUCGAUAUCUAUGAAACUUUGUUGUUCUUCCUCGCCAAGAUGUCUAUUAUAAUUUUGGUAUAUACUUCAUAUAUACGGUGUGAUCUAUGCUUGGAAAUAAGGGUAAAAGGUCAACAGAUCAAAGCCUAAGUCCAAAUUAUGCUACUCCCUCUAAUCUAUAUUACUUGUGUUCUCUAAUAAAGGAAUUCUGCAAUGCAUUCCGCUGGAGUUAAUAAGCUAAUAAAAGGCAAUCAACCCCAUUUAGUACUGAUAUUUCAUGUCGCAUGAACUUUUUAGCUUCUCAUUAUUUUUGUGCAAUUUUUCCUUCAAAAAAUGUUCGCGAUUUUGUACAAAAUAUUUUCUUACUCAAAAAAUGUUCACAUUUUUGAAACCAAAUGUUUGGGAAAUCAAAAAAUGUUCACAUUUUUGAAACCAAAUGUUUGGGAAAUCAAAAAAUGUUCAUGAUUCUUUAAAAAGUUUGUGUAUUCAAAAAUGUUCAUGAAAUUGAACAAAAAUUUGCCAACUAAAAAAAUGUUCAUGAAUGUAAAAAUAUCCUACAAAUGAAAAAACUGUUCAUGACUUACAAAAUAGUUUAUUCAUUCGUAAAAUGUUCGCGGAUUCAAAAAAUAAUCAUGCAUUUAAAAAAAUGUUCAUUAAAUCAAAAAAAUGUUCGUAAAUUUAAAAAAAUCGUCCACCAAUUGGGCCAAAAAUGUUCGUCGGUUCUAGAAAUGUGCGCCGAUUCAAGUAAAAUCUAUAAAAAGAUGUUCACCAUUUUUUAAAAAUGUUUGCAAAUAGUAUAAACUGUUCAUGAAUUCAAAAAAUGUUCAAAAAUUUGAAAAAUUUGAAAAAAAAUGUCCACGAUUUCAAAUAUAUGCACAAGUUUUAAAAAAGGUUCAUGAUUUUGAAAAUUGUUCAUAAUUUCAUGAAAUUGAGAGUGAUAGUAUAUCACGGUGAUGUCGCAAAAUGUGGUCACGGCCGUUGAAUAUUAUGAUUUUUUUCUUCCCGUUGCAACGCACGGGCCCUUUUGCUAGUAAUAAUAAUAAUAAUAAUCUCUCCCUAAUAAUAAUAAAGCAUGGAUUGGGUCUCCGGGUUCACCGUCAUGGCAUUUUUACACAAUAGUCCUUAUACUUUUUGAUAAUGAACCCGCAGUUCUAUUAAUCUGGUACCCACAAAAAAAAACGGUUCGUUGAAAAAGAAAACGUACGCAUCUGCCUCCUCCUCGACCCUGGUAUGUGCCCAAGCCUCCCACGCCGCCGCCACCGCACGUCAUCCCGCUCGCCGCCACCGCACGUCAGCUCGCUCACUGCCCACGCCCGCCGCGGCCGCACCUCAGCCCGCUCGCCCCCCAUGCCGGCGCGGCCGCUCGCCAUUCCCCGCCGCAACCCAGCCACCUCUGUCGCUGCUGCUAGCCGAUGCGCCACAAUAUAACUUUUUGCGAUGCACUCCUACCUGUAGCCCAUCUCAAACCAUCGAAACAGUCCAAGGAUAUUGCAACAGCUGCCGGCUGCUAUAAAACCAAGCCACUGUUCGUGCACAUCCCACUCUCUCUAAUACUACAUGGAUUUAUACAAUGGCAGAAGUACUAUUCUGAUUCUUUAAUUUUGGGACGCUCUGUUCAUGAGCUUGUGUCCACAUAGUGUUUGAUUUUAUGCAUAUGAGGGAAUGUACUACAUUUUUUCUGGUUUCCCUUUGGUGUAUGUUUGAUUAUAUAUGUUUCGGUUGACAGUUGUUAUUGCCUCUGAUUUGUCUUCUGGUUACUUCGUUCAUGUUUUCAGUUGUAGUGACAUCCGGUUCAAAGUUGCUAUAGGGGUUGUCUGGGUACGUUUCAGUUUUUAGCAAACGGAUUUUAGGAGAAAUUAUAUGAAAACGAGCUUCAGUAAACUUAUUGUAAAUCUUUGUUUGGAUAGAAAAUUGUUUUUGCAAAACCAUGUUUGGGUUAGAUCCAUUGAUCAGAAUGAAUUGGAUAAGAGACUCAGCCCUCACUGCAGUCUCGGGAGGCAAACACAAGAGCACUCACCCAGCAAGACCUGGAAGCCAUGCAUGGCCUUCCUCCAAGCUUAGCUGCCUCCCGAAGCUCAACAUGUCAUGCUGCUUCAACAAAUCGUCCCAGCCUCCGUUCAAAGUUCACUUUGCUACUGCUAAUGGGAAGCAUUCAGCCCUCCUGCACUCGCAUGGUGUUGUUUGCGCUCGACGCGUGCAUCGUCAACGACACCGGAGGAGUCUGCAGCGCCGGCCCUGCGGGCGCCGGCUCUCGGAAGCACUGUCCCAUCGAGUGGCGCUAUCUUCCGUGGGUGCAUGCCAUGCCGCAAGGUGGACCACGCCGUGUGCAUCGCAUGGCGGAGAAGCGCAUUGCAGCUAAUCUACGGCGCCACGAGGAGCUAUUGGCUGCUGUAGCAGUGUCACGCUAGAGCAAGAGGUUGGACACUAAUGAUUCUGAGGUACUGUUGUGACCUGCUGUAUCGGUUUACACACGACCGCAUGUCUAAUCUGUUCACGGACAUCCUUGCAGAGGACAUGCACAAGCUCGCUGACGGCAAUGCAGCAAAGUGGUGUUUGUCAUACGAAGGCUCCAUCCUGCAGUAGGGGUGCUCCGAAUGACAAAGGCAACAAGCUAUAUGGGCAUGUGUGCAGUUAAAGAGUAGAGGCGUAGGAUUAUAGCUAAACAAGUAUUCCCUCUUAUAUUUCAGUUUUUUUCAAACAUAUGUUGAGAUCUAUUGCUCAAUGAGAAAGGUAGAACCAGUGUAAGAUUUUGAGCUGCAAUAUUAGAAAGGUGAAAUUUCAUUUAGUCCUAAAAAAAUAUUGACUGUUCUUUCACAGGACAAUCUACCCGCAAAUGCAUCAACAUUCAUAUGAGGAACAAAUGCACUGGCAUAUCAUGUGCAGGGGAAGACAUGCGGUAUUAUGGCAGUUCUUUUUAUUUGUUUCUUUCAAUGUUGGAUAAUGUCUACACCACUUAUUCAUAAUUGGUACAGGUAACUUCAGCACAUAUCACAAUGGAUGGCAAGUAUAUGUAUAAGCUGAGAUUGUUUCCAAUCUGUUGUAAAUGCGUUGCUAUUUGUUUAGUCAGUCUAAUUUUCUAACCAUUGUAAAAAUGCUCAGUUUCCUAGCUCAAAUGAUGUUGAAGCUGAAAAGCAACAACAGGUAGGAUGCAUGGUCUGAAUUUUUGCACCGAGAUUUAAAUGAAUCACAACUCAUAUGAUGCACAAUGUUACUGAAAAUCUAGGAGCCUAUGAUCAAAUUUAGUUUAUGACUUAGGAGGACCAGAAUAAAUAUCACAUAUCCUGAACCGGCGUCCCAAAGAACCAUACUCUCAAUAGGUAUGUCGUUUUUGUCAUCAGCAGCCUUCCAUUUUUGUCAUUAGCAACCCGUCAUUUUUCUCCCGUUGCAACGCACGGGCAUUUGUGCUAGUAAUAAUAAAGCACGGAUUGGGUCCCCGGAUUCACCGUCACUUUUCCUUUAAUAAAGUGACAAAUAAUUACCCACCACUGCCAUCGAUGGGUGGAAGAAACGAUUCGCUAAACAUCUGAAAAAAGACAUUAAAAAAUUCGAAAAAGAAAGUGCUGCCCGACCCAACCCUUGUUCCCCAAUUCGGACGACCCGGCCUCCCUACGCCGCCGAUGUUUCCCACCGCGUCAACCUCCUAGACGCCACCGCCGCUGCCAAGGAGCGCCCCCUCCCCCCCGGUCCCUGCGAGGUCAAUUCCCGUUGCUGAGGUUCCCCGUCUCCAUCGGCUGCCCACGUGCCCGGCGGUGGAGAUGGCUACGGACGACAAGGCGGCCACGGUGCUCGAGCGGGAGGAGGGAGGCCGCCUCCAUCUGGCCGCCGCCGUUCGCGUCCAUGCAGAGGAGCUGCCGCCAUCGGCUGUCGUUUCCCCACGCCGCACAAGAUUGGCCAUGGCCGCCUCGAGUUCGUCGCGGGAGAAGAUGCUCGCCCGCGUUGACAGCUAGCAGUCGUCCGCCUGCUGGGUCGCGCGCGCGCAGAAUCAGCUCACGGGUGACUGGGGGCAGCGUCGCUAAGGAACCAGGGGACCAUGGCGGCCGAGGCCUGUGAUAUGGCGAUUGAGCAUGCGCUGCUCCGACAUGUGUAGCUGUCCAGCUUCCCACCACAGCGUCUUCAUCCACAUCAACGACAUGAAAAUUAAUUGGAAAAGCAAGAACCCAAUUGAUUUUUUUAUUGCCUCUCCCCUCCAGAUUUUUCCCAUAUCGCGAGAUAGUGGCUGUGGCAUGUUGGGGCUGACACAGCAAACACAGAGACGGAAGCUCGCAGAGAAGUUGUGCAGUGCAGGCGGGCAGGCCGGGGCGACGUCGCCGGGGUGGCGUGGACGGAGGGGCUAGAUUGGAAUGCCGAGGUGAUGAGGACGGUGCAGAGAAAUAACAGAACACAAACACAAGGGUGCUUGUGCUGAAGAUACAGAACAAAAUCGUGUUUGUGUAUGUCCGGCCGACAGAUGAAUCAAUCUCCUUUCAAGUUUCAACCCAGCAACCUUCAUGUACGUACAUGUGUGUAUCAAGGACGCACGGAUCCAUUGGCCUGAGCACGACACAUCAAUUCACUAAUUCCAUCAGUGUCAUUCCUAACAAGGUAAGUAUGAUUCCCUAAUCCUUGAGUUUCUUAGUCGAUCUUUGAUCUUUGAUCCUUAAUGUCGUCAUAUUUUAUUGAUUCUAUAAAAGAUCUCAAACAGGAAUACACAGCAUGAUUUAGAUGGAACCAUUUUUGAGGCUACAAUUCCUAUAACUUCCCUUGUCAAUUUGAUAAAAUUACAUGUGUGAUGGAGAUUCAAGCCUAUUACGGUUUACAUUGUCAGAAUUCUUCAAGACCAUCUGUCGAUCCUCACUAUGUUUGAAAACAUAUUUAUGUAUUUGUGUGCUGGAUUUUCUUAUGUAGAUGCUAUAUGAGAGGAAGCUAUACGACAAUCCUGCUCAACUUGGUACAGAUCAGAUCGAUUUUAUUGUAAAUAUUUAUGCUUGAUAGAUACAAGCCUCCCUCUUCGGCCUUUCUUUUAUCCAUCCUAAGCAGGUCGCGCAGCACUUGUCAAUCGUUGCUGCCUUGACUCGCCGCCGACGUCGCCGGUUGGGCCGAAGGGUACAAGAUCAUCAUGCGGCCCAGUGCAUGGGCGCCGAGUAUGCUUGAUUGCCAUGUCGGAGGCGGAGGUCCUAGAGCUUGGUGGCAUGUGUUUGAUGUUUCUUUUUUCUCCCGUUGCAACACACUGAUUGAUUUAUUCAUGCAUCCGCUGAUUUACUCUGAUUUUUUUUUCCAGUCGUCAAACAUUAACUGGAUUGGUUCGUGGAUAUGCAGUGUGACAAGUCGUGUGAGAUGAAGGUGGUGAACUGUCUCAAUGUGAAGCCAAGUAUGUGGUGGAUUUUCCAUGGUUGAUGGUAGACCGGUAAGGGUAAAAGUUUGAGCUGUCAAUUUUUGUGUGACCGAUCUCCUGGAUGGUCAAACCUGAAAAGUCAGUGAAGAUUCAGAUUACAGACGGAUGCCUUUUCUGCCUACAAUGCUAUAAUCACGCCAACUAUGCGCAUGGAGUACCAGAGAUGAUACAAAAAUUGCUUCAGAUAGGCAGGUGGGUGCAUGCAGAACUGCCGAGGCCGGAUGGUGUCCGGGACCAACUAUAUGAUCUGCUCCGAAAGGAACACGAUGCAGCCUUGAUGUCGGCGUAAGUCUUGAUGUAAUCCUCAAAAAAGAUAUUGCUUGCAGGUAGGUUAUACACAAACAUGCAUGUUGUAGGUGUGUUAAUUUUCGACAAAGGGGAUGUGCUGGACUGAGUGGCCGUUUUAUUAAAACAAAGGGAUGGAACUUGCAAUAUUUGAAUCAAUAGAGGUUAUCUUUCAUAUGAAUUUUAUUAUUAGAUACUUGCAGAUGUGUGUCAAUUCCUUAGAUCAUGUUUGAUUCUUAAAAUUGUAGAUGUUUCAUAUAUAACCAUCAAUUAUAUUUAUGCAACUGGCAGUCCCUGUGCAUUCUUUUUUAUCUGCUCUAAACACACAUUUCAGUUUAUAAGAAUCAUACAUGUCAGUCUAUAAGUAAGAUUAUGAGUUGAUCCAGUGCCGAAAACAAAUCAGUUGAACAUGUUUGUUCUAGCAGUUUUAGGCAACAUUUCAUGUGUGUAUGAAGUUUCAUUCCAUGUGAAGUCAAUGAUUGUUUUUUUUACAGAAUUAUUCAGGUUUGAUUGGUGAAGCUGCGUUGAGCAAAGAAGAUAUGUUUAUUUGUGAGGAAUUUUUGUAUGUAAUAUCCGUCCAGCCAUACAUAAGACUGAUAUUCUCAUUCUUUAUCAAUGUAUACUUGGCCUCUACUCUCAUAUGUGUUGAGAAAUGGCUGGAACAUCUAUUGUUGUUUGUAUAAUCUUACACUGAAAAAUAAUUUGUGAUAGCAAACAGGUUAACCAGGGCGCAAGUUUUGUUUAUACAUAAUUUCAGAAGUACUAUUAAUUUUUUGGCUGAUUUCCCAAACUACAUAAUGGCUAAUUUUUUGAACCAAUUAUUUGUGAGCUAUGGAGGAGAACAAAUAUGAUUCACGAUAUAUUGUAAUUAAGAAAGAAGAGUGAUUUAAUGGUAAUUUUUUUAAAUGAUAAGUAUUCCACCACUACAAUAUCUAUGUCACUAAGCUUGAUUCUCGCACCUUGCAUUCUCCCGUUGCAACGCACGGGUAUUUUUUGCUAGUAAUAAUAAAGCAGGAAUUGACUUUGUCGGGUUCACCGUUAAAAUACGCUUUCUUCUCAUGUCAUAAUACGCUUUCAGUUUGAAUUUAAAACAUACCCGAGGGUGGUACUAAAUUUUGUCUAUGCAAUAUUAUCGACUCGAUUGACCGCUACGUUCUUUCUUGAUCGCUUAGCUGGGCUGCGAUCCAGCUGGGCCUUGACCCGUAUCUCUAUUGACUGUCUCCCGUAGCGUGAUGAAGAAUAGGAGACCGAUACAUGCAUGUCCCUACUUCUUGUUUUUUGUUUGGACUACAUGAAAUUCCUCUACGAAACUGAAUCGAAUAUUUAUAUAUGGGUAUGGUCGCAACUUUGAGAUCCUCACAUUUGUCAAUCAUCAACAAGUCGACUCGAUACGGCCAUGUAAGCAGGUGGACGGUGGCGUCGUGUGAUCGUGUACGACGGCGACACGAACACGGCCAAUAGGCCAGGUGGACGGCGACGGCCGUGUGAUCGUGUACGACGGCGACCGGAGCGCGGCCAGCAGGUGCUUGCCGAUGUUGGCGACAACCACCAGGCGGACUGUGAUUGUCUGUGGCGGCGACACGAGCGCGGCCAGCAGGUGCUCGCUGUUGUUGGCCAUGACCACCAGGCGGACGGUGACUGUCGUGUGAUCAUGUACGAUGGCUACGUGAGCGCGGUCAACAGGCGCUCACCGAUGGUGACGACGACCACUAGGUGGACGGAGACGGCCAUGUGAUGGUGUACGACGGCUAUGCGAGCACGGCCAGUAGGCGCUCGCCGAUGUUGACGACGACCACCAGGCUCUCCGCUCUCGACGAGUUGGUCGUGCACUCGAGGACGACAUGAUCAGCAUGGUUGCUUAGCUGCUGCCGCUAUGGUUGGCAAGCCUCACGCGGCCACAACCAUUUUGUGCUGGGUCGUCGACGCCGUGCCGUGCACAUGGCCGGCAAGCCUGAUCUCCUUCUUCCUCUAUCCAGAGACAUCCUCUUUGGUCCAAUCCUUCCUGCGCCCGUCGCCCCAUCCGACAGAAAUUCUCAGCCAAUCACGCAUCUGGGUCGCCCUACUGAUUUUUACGUCGCCCCGUUGUCAGUAUGGUGGUCUCGUAGGAGAAUCAAGAUCGAGGCGCAGAAGUUCGACUUCGGUAUGUACUAGUACAUCAAGUAGCAGGAUUCAAGGCUGCAGAUUCAUGGUCCUCCCCUGUCUUUCUCCCAUCUUCCUCUUUUCUCGUGCCGCUUAUUCAAUCAUGUGUGAGUCUGUUGCUCCCGGUGUUGGUGUCAGCGUGAUUCCUUACUCACAAGAGGCCAGUUGAGGGUGCUGGUAGAUUUAAACAGUUGAUACUUUGAGGCAAGGUGUCAUAACUACAUACUAUAUAUCUAUUUUGUAGACCAAAAGGCAGAAGCUUAUGCUCACAUAUGUCAAUAAAAUCCACGCUUUGUCGACAAAUGCUAACAAUGCCCGCCAUGUUGCGCCGGUGCAUGCACUGACCGCUCCGAGCAUUUUUAACAUGGUCCUUUUACCUCCUCUUUUCACAUAAGAGGUAAGCGUAUAUAAUAGAUCUAAACCGUUAAUCUCAUUAAUUAGUGGCGUGGUUAACAUUUACCUUCUUACUUCACAUGUAAAAAGGAGAGGUAAGAGGAAGCAUUUUAAAAUUAGCCGCUUCGAGCCAUCGCAGCUGCGUGCAGGAUUUGUACUCACUGCUCUUCCAUAUGAGUGUCCUUAUGCUGAUAUCCAGCGAGGUAAGCAUCCCCCUCAACCUCCCGUCAGCACUACGUUCACAUGGAUAUCGACUACCUUAACCCGCGCCAUAGUGUUUCCCUUGCCAUUCCACCCUCAAGCUCGCUAGGAGGUGCAUAUAAUCAAAUCAUGCGACUUCAUGUUUCCUGUCCGGACAUAAAAUAUUUUCCAUCUGACUUGGAAGUAUCAACUAUCAUAGCUUGCUUUUAACCCCUUCACGAAUUGGCACCGAUCACGCAACCGACAACCCUACGAGGGGGGGCGGGGGUAGGGGGAAUUUGAGGAAGCGAGCGGAAGUAGAGGAUAAUCGAUAGAUAAUGGGAGGAUGGAGAUGGAUGUCUGAUACGACAGUGUCGCCGCCAUCAGCCGGUCCUUCAAUGACAUCUCCAUCGAUGGUGAAUUAACCCCUUCUUCUACACUGGCAUUUUUUUACAUGGUGUGGCAUUCAUGGGUACACUAUCAUUAUAGGUAUUGCUAUGUUUUUGGUGGAUUGAUUUAAAGGAUGCAAUUUUAUUACCCCGUUGCAGCGCACGGGCUCUUUUGCUAGUAUCCAGACUAUCUAUAUCUAUAUCUAUACCUACUAACUAGCACAUAUGCCCGUGCGUUGCAACGGAAGAAAAAAUUACACGUUGGUCAAUAUCCGACAUAUGAAUGUCCUCUAUUUUAACACGAUAGCUCACCAUGUUGCCAAUUAUCUUUCUUCUCACUCUCGUUGAUGAUGGAUGCAAUAUCCACGUGAUCGCAAUGCAUUCAACGUGGUAAAAAAUGGGCUUGUCACUGUACGACACACUUGCCAUUGUCUCGCGCAGGGGAAUGUUUUGAACUUUGAAAACAAAUCUCAUCGACCAUGGACUACUCGCCAACCCCAAGACAUAUAAAGAAUUUCCAAAAUUAAUCAAAUCCUAGAUAUAAAAUACAUCUGAAUAGGAAGAGUUUUUUGAAUCGACAAACAUUCUUUUUAAAUUUAGACAUUUUUUUAAAUUCACAAACAUUUGUUUUUUAGACGAACAUUUAUUGAAAUGCAUGAAUAGUUUUUGAUUUCAUGAUGACUCAGAUUCACAAAUAUGUUUUGAAUACACGAUCAUUUUAUCAAGAUCAUGAACUUGAUUUUAUUUAACGACAUUUCUUUCCAAAUUACUUUUAUAAUUUGCAAAUAUUUUUGUAAAAUCAGUAACAUUUUUUGAAACCAUGAAAAUUUUAUGAUUUCCUGAACUUUUUUGAAUUCACACACAUUUUAUAAUUUCUCAAACAGCCUUUUCAAACUCGCAACUUUUUAAUACUUGAAAAUCUCAAAUUUAUUUAAAGAAGGAGAAAACAAAAACAGAAGUGAGAAAAGAGAAGACCAGAAAAAAGAAAAAAAAAAC
rnacentral:lncRNA from 1 species